rnacentral:misc_RNA from 1 species
AAGUCGUAACAAGGUUUCCGUAGGUGAACCUGCGGAAGGAUCAUUAUUACGAGAGAUCAAAAUCGUAACCCAACCGAAAAUUGUGCAUUCAGUACCUCCCGGUAGCAUUUGACCUUUGGAAAUGAAGGCUUCUUUGGUAUGCUAUACGUGUAUCAAAGGCACUUCGGAGCAGAUGAAGUGAACAGCCUCCAUUUCUGUCAAAUGUUUCAACUACCGGUUAUCUCAAUCUGCUCAUUUUCUCAAAUCAAACCAUUAACCCCAUGUAACUAUUUGAAACUAAAUAACAUCUGCUUUUGUGGCUGCAAAGCGUACAAAAGCUGAAUCAAAAAACCGAACUUAAGAACAACUCUUAACAACGGAUAUCUUGGUUCUC